CCUACUAAGAACAACAUAAGCUUCUAUUUCAGGUCUUCAAGGAGACGCAGCUGUUUGCAGCAGAUGGAGAGUUGACAACAUCCCUCCCACAGGCAUGUUUUUUGCCCUUGAUGCACAGCAGAGACCUUCUGUAUGAAAUACCCUGCAGAGCAAAACUGCCCAUGCUAUGUCCAGUAUUCCAGAUUGCCUUCUCCUUUGGAGAGAUCUUCCCCAAAUCCUCAAGAUGGCACAGAAAGUUCUUCUCAACUCAAACCAAGAAUUGAACAAAACGAGCAAAAAGGCAAUGGCCAAGUCUAUUUGAGAAAGUAAAAGUGAAGAGGGAAAGAGAAACUGGCUCUCAAGGGUAAACUUGGGCAAAAUAAAAGGAGAAGAAGCAAUAAAAAGACACAUUGGAGGAAGCAGCGUGGG
rnacentral:lncRNA from 1 species